AUGCCUAACACAUGCAAGUCGAACGCAUCUUCGGAUGAGUGGCGCACGGGUGAGUAACGCGUGGGAACCUACCCUGAGGUUCGGAAUAACGGUUGGAAACGACCGCUAAUACCGGAUGUGUCCUAUGGAGCAAAGGCUUGCCGUCUUGGGAGGGGCCCGCGUCCGAUUAGCUUGUCGGUGAGGUAAUGGCUCACCAAGGCGACGAUCGGUAGCUGGUCUGAGAGGAUGAUCAGCCACACUGGGACUGAGACACGGCCCAGACUCC
rnacentral:rRNA from 1 species